rnacentral:rRNA from 1 species
AGAGUUUGAUCCUGGCUCACAUUGAACGCUGGCGGCGUGCUUAACACAUGCAAGUCGCGCGCUGAAAGGACUUCGGUCCGAGUAAAGCGGCGCACGGGUGAGUAACGCGUGGAUGAUCUACCCAUGAGUUGGGAAUAACGGCUGGAAACGGUCGCUAAUACCGAAUACGCUCCGAUUUCAUCUUCGGGGGAAAGGUGGCCUCUGCUUGCAAGCUACUGCUCAUGGAUGAGUCCGCGUCCCAUUAGCUAGUUGGAGGGGUAACGGCCCACCAAGGCGACGAUGGGUAGCCGGUCUGAGAGGAUGACCGGCCACACUGGGACUGGAACACGGCCCAGACUCCUACGGGAGGCAGCAGUGGGGAAUAUUGCGCAAUGGGCGAAAGCCUGACGCAGCGACGCCGCGUGAGGGAUGAAGGUCCUCGGAUCGUAAACCUCUGUCAGGAGGGAAGAACCGCCACGGUGCUAAUCAGCCGUGGUCUGACGGUACCUCCAAAGGAAGCACCGGCUAACUCCGUGCCAGCAGCCGCGGUAAUACGGAGGGUGCGAGCGUUAAUCGGAAUCACUGGGCGUAAAGCGCACGUAGGCUGCUUGGUAAGUCAGGGGUGAAAGCCCGCGGCUCAACCGCGGAAUUGCCUUUGAUACUGCCGAGCUAGAGUCCGGGAGAGGGUAGUGGAAUUCCAGGUGUAGGAGUGAAAUCCGUAGAGAUCUGGAGGAACAUCAGUGGCGAAUGCGACUACCUGGACCGGUACUGACGCUGAAGUGCGAAAGCCACGCCGUAAACGAUGGAUGCUAGGUGUCGGGGCCUUGAGCUUCGGUGCCGUAGUUAACGCGUUAAGCAUCCCGCCUGGGGAGUACGGUCGCAAGGCUGAAACUCAAAGAAAUUGACGGGGGCCCGCACAAGCGGUGGAGUAUGUGGUUUAAUUCGAUGCAACGCGAAGAACCUUACCUAGGUUUGACAUCCGGAAAACCUUCCCGAAAAGGAAGGGUGCCCUUCGGGGAAUUCCGAGACAGGUGCUGCAUGGCUGUCGUCAGCUCGUGCCGUGAGGUGUUGGGUUAAGUCCCGCAACGAGCGCAACCCCUAUUGCCAGUUGCUACCAGGUAAUGCUGGGCACUCUGGUGAGACUGCCCCGGUUAACGGGGAGGAAGGUGGGGACGACGUCAAGUCAUCAUGGCCCUUACGCCUAGGGCCACACACGUACUACAAUGGCGCAUACAAAGGGCAGCGAUACCGCGAGGUGGAGCCAAUCCCAAAAAGUGCGUCCCAGUCCGGAUUGCAGUCUGCAACUCGACUGCAUGAAGUUGGAAUCGCUAGUAAUUCGAGAUCAGCAUGCUCGGGUGAAUGCGUUCCCGGGCCUUGUACACNCCGCCCGUCACACCACGAAAGUUGGUUUUACCCGACACCGGUGAGCUAACCAGCAAUGGAGGCAGCCGUCUACGGUAGGGCCGAUGAUUGGGGUGAAGUCGUAACAAGGUAACC